rnacentral:rRNA from 1 species
AGACCCGAAACCCGGUGAUCUAGCCAUGGGCAGGUUGAAGGUUGGGUAACACUAACUGGAGGACCGAACCGACUAAUGUUGAAAAAUUAGCGGAUGACCUGUGGCUGGGGGUGAAAGGCCAAUCAAACCGGGAGAUAGCUGGUUCUCCCCGAAAGCUAUUUAGGUAGCGCCUCGUGAAUUCAUCUCCGGGGGUAGAGCACUGUUUCGGCUAGGGGGCCAUCCCGGCUUACCAACCCGAUGCAAACUGCGAAUACCGGAGAAUGUUAUCACGGGAGACACACGGCGGGUGCUAACGUCCGUCGUGAAGAGGGAAACAACCCAGACCGCCAGCUAAGGUCCCAAAGUCAUGGUUAAGUGGGAAACGAUGUGGGAAGGCCCAGACAGCCAGGAUGUUGGCUUAGAAGCAGCCAUCAUUUAAAGAAAGCGUAAUAGCUCACUGGUCGAGUCGGCCUGCGCGGAAGAUGUAACGGGGCUAAACCAUGCACCGAAGCUGCGGCAGCGAACGUAUCACUUAAAGCGAUUCAGCGGGUUACGAUUGACGGAGCGAAGCGACGUCAAAGCGUAUACAAAGUCGAGUCGGUUUAAGGAUACGUUCGUUGGGUAGGGGAGCGUUCUGUAAGCCUGCGAAGGUGGCCUGUGAGGGUUGCUGGAGGUAUCAGAAGU